AAGCAUUCACACAAUCACUUCCGGGGCCAAGCGUUCACACAAUCACUUCCGGGCCCAAGCGUUCAUAUAUCACCUCUCGGGCCAAGGUGGGAAUUUGGCAGAGCUGCGCCUGACUCUGCCAUGGUGAACGAGGGGGACAUUGUCUAAGCCACAGGGGAAGCAUGUGUCCUUCCUCGCUGGACAUCAUUUUCCAGAGCACAAAAGGGUGUGGGGCUCUCUUAACCUUGGGGUAAAAAUCCCACGUUGUGAAAACAUGAACACAGGUGCUAGGAAUACCUGGGCUUCUGGCCAGCCUCGGGCUUUUAAAUCCAACGUGGACUCACCCCAUCGGAGGAGGGAAGGACAGAAGCCAGGGAGCCUGGGUCCCCGUGGACGGCCGCGCAGCUGUCCCUGCUGCCAGGAUCGCUCUGCCCGGAGCCCAGGGUGGGCGCUGUCUGCUGAAGGCCGCGGUGAGAGAGUGAUCUCAGCUCAGAGGCUCAAGGGAGCAGCUGCACAGCUGCAGCUUACCGGUGGCAGCAGGGCCGGGGAACCCUGGAAAUGGGAGCCAUUUCAAGACCAGGGAACCGGGAGGAAACGGGACAAAGAUCUCGGGUUCUACUCAGUCACCUCCACCGCCUUCUCGAGCCAUGGAAAGAAAAGGUCCAGGAAUCAGCAGAGGGAAGCUAGGGAGAGACAUAAAACCAAGGAAAUUUUGAGAUACUACCAACAACUGGCCAAUGGCACAGGAACGGACAAUAAAACAAUGCUAAAGAAACUGAGGCUUCAUGGAGUUCAUUUACUAAAUGGCAGAGGUGAGGUUGCUCAUGAAAAGGGAUCCAACAAAAAUACAAGACUGCCACCUUUGCCUCCUCAUCCAGGACAGAGCAACUCUCCCUUUCCUUCUUGCAACAAAGGAGGCAAAACACACCCUCCCACCACCAUCCCUCAACUGAGCCAAGUGACGGAGGUCAGCAGUGCAAUUGUUUUGCUUAUAGGGAGGGACUCUGAAUUCGGUCAGUAGGUCACCUGCCCUCUCGGCCUGCACUCAGCUCCAUGCUGCCCAAACCCCUGUGAGUUUCCGUUUCAGAAUACUUCAGGCUUCAGCCAGCACAAACAUGUCACAGCAAGAGGGACAGUGAUUGUGUUUGUACACGCUAUUAGGAUAAGCACAAGCUUUAUUUGAUC
rnacentral:lncRNA from 1 species